rnacentral:rRNA from 1 species
GACGAACCACACAAACGUUGUUCGGAAUCACUGGGCUUAAAGGGCGCGUAGGCGGGCAAGCAAGUCCGGGGUGAAAUCUUUCGGCUCAACCGGAAAAGUGCCUUGGAUACUGCUUGUCUGGAGGGAGGUAGGGGCAUGUGGAACUUCUGGUGGAGCGGUGAAAUGCGUUGAUAUCAGAAGGAACGCCGGUGGCGAAAGCGACGUGCUGGACCUCUUCUGACGCUGAGGCGCGAAAGCUAGGGGAGCAAACGGG